GACGAACGCUGGCGGCGUGCCUAAUACAUGCAAGUCGAACGAGCGGCGGACGGGUGAGUAAUGUCUGGGAAACUGCCUGAUGGAGGGGGAUAACUACUGGAAACGGUAGCUAAUACCGCAUACCAUCAGAUGUGCCCAGAUGGGAUUAGCUAGUAGGUGGGGUAAUGGCUCACCUAGGCGACGAUCCCUAGCUGGUCUGAGAGGAUGACCAGGCACACUGGAACUGAGCAACGGUCCAGCCGCCUACGGGAGGAAGCGGGGGGGAAUAUUGCACAAUGGGCGCAAGCCUGAUGCAGCCAUGCCGCGUGUGUGAAGAAGGCCUUCAGGUUGUAAAGCACUUUCAGCGAGUAGGCGUUACUCGCAGAAGAAGCACCGGCUAACUCCGUGCCAGCAGCCGCGGUAAUAC
rnacentral:rRNA from 1 species